AUUGAACGCUGGCGGCAGGCCUAACACAUGCAAGUCGAACGGUAACAGGAAGAAGCUUGCUUCUUUGCUGACGAGUGGUGGACGGGUGAGUAAUGUCUGGGAAACUGCUUGAUGGAGGGGGAUAACUACUGGAAACGGCAGCUAAUACCGCAUAACGUCGCAAGACCAAAGAGGGGGACCUUCGGGCCUCUUGCCAUCGGAUGUGCCCAGAUGGGAUUAGCUAGUAGGUGGGGUAACGGCUCACCUAGGCGACGAUCCCUAGCUGGUCUGAGAGGAUGACCAGCCACACUGGAACUGAGACACGGUCCAGACUCCUACGGGAGGCAGCAGUGGGGAAUAUUGCACAAUGGGCGCAAGCCUGAUGCAGCCAUGCCGCGUGUAUGAAGAAGGCCUUCGGGUUGUAAAGUACUUUCAGCGGGGAGGAAGGGAGUAAAGUUAAUACCUUUGCUCAUUGACGUUACCCGCAGAAGAAGCACCGGCUAACUCCGUG
rnacentral:rRNA from 1 species